rnacentral:rRNA from 1 species
UCUCCUACGGGACGCAGCAGUGGAGGAUAUUGCACAAUGGGCGCAAGCCUGAUGCAGCGACGCCGCGUGAGCGAAGAAGUAUUUCGGUAUGUAAAGCCCUAUCGGCAGGGAAGAAGCAAGACGGUACCUGACUAAGAAGCCCCGGCUAACUACGUGCCAGCAGCCGCGGUAAUACGUAGGGGGCGAGCGUUAUCCGGAUUCACUGGGUGUAAAGGGAGCGUAGACGGCCAAGCAAGCCAGGGGUGAAAGCCCGGGGCCCAACCCCGGGCCUGCCCCUGGAA